GCAGUUAUCGGUUUAAAUAUACCUAAAAUUCCCGUUCAGAGAUAUGACAAUUGCCGUACGGCCUACUUUUACGCAAACGAAAAUUUAAUUUAGCUACAAUUGCAAAAAUUUCAUGCUUAAUUUUCUCUGUUAUCUGGGUAUGUAGUAAUCUAACUUUAUGCAAUGUAAUGUGCUGUUUUUUCAAGGACUUUUCAAUGCAGUUAUCGGUUUAAAUAUAACUCAAAUUCCCGUUGAGAUAUGACAAUUGCCGUACGGACUACUUUUACGCAAACGCAAAUUACAACUGCAAAUUUCAUCAGCACAUCACAUUGGCAUAAAAUUACAUUACUACAUGCCCGGAUAACAGAGAAAAUUAAGCAUGAAAGUGGCAAUUGCAGCUAAUUUUCGUUUGCGUAAAAGUGGGCCGUACGGCAAUUGUCAUAUCUCUUAACGGGAAUUUUAGGUAUAUUUAAACCGAUAACUGCAUUGAAAAGCC